UCAGCCCAAGAUGCUUUAAGUGCACAACA
rnacentral:piRNA from 1 species